rnacentral:rRNA from 1 species
CCUACGGGUGGCAGCAGUAGGGAAUCUUCGUCAAUGGGCGCAAGCCUGACCGAGCAAUGCCGCGUGAACGAGGAAGGUCUUCGGAUCGUAAAGUUCUGUUGAAGGGGAAAAAGAGCGGAGAGAGGAAAUGGUCUCCGAUUGAUAUUACCCUUCGAGGAAGUCACGGCUAACUACGUGCCAGCAGCCGCGGUAAUACGUAGGUGGCGAGCGUUAUCCGGAAUGAUUGGGCGUAAAGGGUGCGUAGGCGGCCUGCCAAGUCUGGAGUGAAAGGUACCGGCUCAACCGGGACAAGCUCUGGAAACUGGCGGGCUAGAGAGCAGGAGAGGGCGGUGGAACUCCAUGUGUAGCGGUAAAAUGCGUAGAUAUAUGGAAGAACAGCAGUGGCGAAGGCGGCCGCCUGGCCUGUUACUGACGCUGAGGCACGAAAGCGUGGGGAGCAAAUAGGAUUAGAUACCCGAGUAGUC